rnacentral:rRNA from 1 species
GGGUUGUGAGGUUAAGCGACCAAGCGUACACGGUGGAUGCCCUGGCAGUCAGAGGCGAUGAAGGACGUGCUAAUCUGCGAAAAGCGCCGGUAAGGUGAUAUGAACCGUUAUAACCGGCGAUGUCCGAAUGGGGAAACCCAGUGUGACUCGUCACACUAUCAUUAACUGAAUCCAUAGGUUAAUGAGGCGAACCGGGGGAACUGAAACAUCUAAGUACCCCGAGGAAAAGAAAUCAACCGAGAUUCCCCCAGUAGCGGCGAGCGAACGGGGAGGAGCCCAGAGCCUGAAUCAGCAUGUGUGUUAGUGGAAGCGUCUGGAAAGGCGCGCGAUACAGGGUGACAGCCCCGUACACAAAAGCGCAUGUGCUGUGAGCUCGAUGAGUAGGGCGGGACACGUGGUAUCCUGUCUGAAUAUGGGGGGACCAUCCUCCAAGGCUAAAUACUCCUGACUGACCGAUAGUGAACCAGUACCGUGAGGGAAAGGCGAAAAGAACCCCGGCGAGGGGAGUGAAACAGAACCUGAAACCGUGUACGUACAAGCAGUGGGAGCCCCACCACUAAGCCAGUGGUGAACUCCACAUACGCAUCCUUUGCGGAAGAUGCGGUUAACGGAGCGAAAGCGACGUUCAACCUCAGAAGAAGCAGAGGGGGCUUAGUGGUGGGGUGACUGCGUACCUUUUGUAUAAUGGGUCAGCGACUUAUAUUCUGUAGCAAGGUUAACCGCAUAGGGGAGCCGAAGGGAAACCGAGUCUUAACCGGGCGUUAAGUUGCAGGGUAUAGACCCGAAACCCGGUGAUCUAGCCAUGGGCAGGUUGAAGGUUGGGUAACACUAACUGGAGGACCGAACCGACUAAUGUUGAAAAAUUAGCGGAUGACCUGUGGCUGGGGGUGAAAGGCCAAUCAAACCGGGAGAUAGCUGGUUCUCCCCGAAAGCUAUUUAGGUAGCGCCUCGUGAAUUCAUCUCCGGGGGUAGAGCACUGUUUCGGCUAGGGGGCCAUCCCGGCUUACCAACCCGAUGCAAACUGCGAAUACCGGAGAAUGUUAUCACGGGAGACACACGGCGGGUGCUAACGUCCGUCGUGAAGAGGGAAACAACCCAGACCGCCAGCUAAGGUCCCAAAGUCAUGGUUAAGUGGGAAACGAUGUGGGAAGGCCCAGACAGCCAGGAUGUUGGCUUAGAAGCAGCCAUCAUUUAAAGAAAGCGUAAUAGCUCACUGGUCGAGUCGGCCUGCGCGGAAGAUGUAACGGGGCUAAACCAUGCACCGAAGCUGCGGCAGCGACACUUUAGUGUUGUUGGGUAGGGGAGCGUUCUGUAAGCCGUUGAAGGUGUGUCGUGAGGCAUGCUGGAGGUAUCAGAAGUGCGAAUGCUGACAUAAGUAACGAUAAAGCGGGUGAAAAGCCCGCUCGCCGGAAGACCAAGGGUUCCUGUCCAACGUUAAUCGGGGCAGGGUGAGUCGACCCCUAAGGCGAGGCCGAAAGGCGUAGUCGAUGGGAAACGGGUUAAUAUUCCCGUACUUGGUGUUACUGCGAAGGGGGGACGGAGAAGGCUAUGUUGGCCGGGCGACGGUAGUCCCGGUUUAAGCGUGUAGGCUGGUUUUCCAGGCAAAUCCGGAAAAUCAAGGCUGAGGCGUGAUGACGAGGCACCACGGUGCUGAAGCAACAAAUGCCCUGCUUCCAGGAAAAGCCUCUAAGCAUCAGGUAACAUCAAAUCGUACCCCAAACCGACACAGGUGGUCAGGUAGAGAAUACCAAGGCGCUUGAGAGAACUCGGGUGAAGGAACUAGGCAAAAUGGUGCCGUAACUUCGGGAGAAGGCACGCUGACACGUAGGUGAAGUGAUUUACUCAUGGAGCUGAAGUCAGUCGAAGAUACCAGCUGGCUGCAACUGUUUAUUAAAAACACAGCACUGUGCAAACACGAAAGUGGACGUAUACGGUGUGACGCCUGCCCGGUGCCGGAAGGUUAAUUGAUGGGGUCAGCGCAAGCGAAGCUCCUGAUCGAAGCCCCGGUAAACGGCGGCCGUAACUAUAACGGUCCUAAGGUAGCGAAAUUCCUUGUCGGGUAAGUUCCGACCUGCACGAAUGGCGUAAUGAUGGCCAGGCUGUCUCCACCCGAGACUCAGUGAAAUUGAACUCGCUGUGAAGAUGCAGUGUACCCGCGGCAAGACGGAAAGACCCCGUGAACCUUUACUAUAGCUUGACACUGAACAUUGAGCCUUGAUGUGUAGGAUAGGUGGGAGGCUUUGAAGCGUGGACGCCAGUCUGCGUGGAGCCGACCUUGAAAUACCACCCUUUAAUGUUUGAUGUUCUAACGUGGACCCGUAAUCCGGGUUGCGGACAGUGUCUGGUGGGUAGUUUGACUGGGGCGGUCUCCUCCUAAAGAGUAACGGAGGAGCACGAAGGUUGGCUAAUCCUGGUCGGACAUCAGGAGGUUAGUGCAAUGGCAUAAGCCAGCUUGACUGCGAGCGUGACGGCGCGAGCAGGUGCGAAAGCAGGUCAUAGUGAUCCGGUGGUUCUGAAUGGAAGGGCCAUCGCUCAACGGAUAAAAGGUACUCCGGGGAUAACAGGCUGAUACCGCCCAAGAGUUCAUAUCGACGGCGGUGUUUGGCACCUCGAUGUCGGCUCAUCACAUCCUGGGGCUGAAGUAGGUCCCAAGGGUAUGGCUGUUCGCCAUUUAAAGUGGUACGCGAGCUGGGUUUAGAACGUCGUGAGACAGUUCGGUCCCUAUCUGCCGUGGGCGCUGGAAGACUGAGGGGGGCUGCUCCUAGUACGAGAGGACCGGAGUGGACGCAUCACUGGUGUUCGGGUUGUCAUGCCAAUGGCACUGCCCGGUAGCUAAAUGCGGAAAAGAUAAGUGCUGAAAGCAUCUAAGCACGAAACUUGCCCCGAGAUGAGUCUUCCCUGAGACUUUGAGUCUCCUGAAGGAACGUUAAAGACGAUGACGUUGAUAGGCCGGGUGUGUAAGCGCAGCGAUGCGUUGAGCUAACCGGUACUAAUGAACCGUGAGGCUUAACCUUACAACGCCGAAGCUGUU